UACGAAGGGGGCUAGCGUUGCUCGGAAUCACUGGGCGUAAAGGGUGCGUAGGCGGGUCUUUAAGUCAGGGGUGAAAUCCCGGAGCUCAACUCCAGAACUGCCUUUGAUACUGAAGAUCUUGAGUUCGGGAGAGGUGAGUGGAACUGCGAGUGUAGAGGUGAAAUUCGUAGAUAUCUGGAGGAACACCGGUGGCGAAGGCGGCGUUCUGGACGGCAACUGACACUGAUGAACGAAAGCCAGGGAAGCAAACGGG
rnacentral:rRNA from 1 species